rnacentral:rRNA from 1 species
CCCUGAUAGGGGGACGGGCGGAGGACAUUACUGUGAUUUAGUACUACACUGCGUGAGCGGAACGAAAACAAAAACACCUAAAAUGUGGAAUAUAGCAUAUAGUCGACAAGAGAAAUCUACGAAAAACAAACAAAACUUUCAACAACGGAUCUCUUGGUUCUCGCAUCGAUGAAGAGCGCAGCGAAAUGCGAUACCUAGUGUGAAUUGCAGCCAUCGUGAAUCAUCGAGUUCUUGAACGCACAUUGCGCCCCUCGGCAUUCCGGGGGGCAUGCCUGUUUGAGCGUCGUUUCCAUCUUGCGCGUGCGCAGAGUUGGGGGAGCGGAGCGGACGACGUGUAAAGAGCGUCGGAGCUGCGACUCGCCUGAAAGGGAGCGAAGCUGGCCGAGCGAACUAGACUUUUUUUCAGGGACGCUUGGCGGCCGAGAGCGAGUGUUGCGAGACAACAAAAAGCUCGACCUCAAAUCAGGUAGGAAUACCCGCUGAACUUAAGCAUAUCAAAAGCCCGGAGGAA